rnacentral:rRNA from 1 species
AUGAACGUCGGCACGGCCACCCCGGGGUGCUUUGGCGUGCCGGUGACGUUCAUGACGUGCCGGAUGAGGUUGCUGUUGUACGUGUCGGCGUUGUCGUUGUUGGCGUCCGGCUCGGCGGACGCGUCGCCCUUGUGCGGCCACCCGGUCUCCGUCACCAUGACCGGCACGUUGGUGACGUUGAGGUACGCCAUGGCGAAGUAG